rnacentral:rRNA from 1 species
CCCUUAGAUGUCCGGGGCUGCACGCGCGCUACACUGAAGGAAUCAGCGUGCUAAAACCAUUGUCGAAAGGCAUUGGUAAACCCAUUAAAAUCCUACGUGAUUGGGAUCGGGAAUUGCAAUUAUUUCCCUUGAACGAGGAAUUCCCAGUAAGUGUGGGUCAUAAGCUCGCAUUGAUUACGUCCCUGCCCUUUGUACACACCGCCCGUCGCUGCCCGGGACUGAGCCGUUUCGAGAAAAGCGGGGACUGCUGCUGUCGGGGCUUUCGGGCCUUGGCUUCGGUGGAAACCGCUUUAAUCGCAGUGGCUUGAACCGGGCAAAAGUCGUAACA